GUGGGGAAUAUUGGGCAAUGGGCGAAAGCCUGACCCAGCAACGCCGCGUGAAGGAAGAAGGUCUUCGGAUCGUAAACUUCUAUCCUUGGUGAAGAUAAUGACGGUAGCCGAGAAGGAAGCCCCGGCUAACUACGUGCCAGCAGCCGCGGUAAUACGUAGGGGGCAAGCGUUGUCCGGAAUGAUUGGGCGUAAAGGGCGCGUAGGCGGCCUGGUAAGUCUGGAGUGAAAGUCCUGCUUUUAAGGUGGGAAUUGCUUUGGAUACUGUCGGGCUUGAGUGCAGGAGAGGUAAGUGGAAUUCCCGGUGUAGCGGUGAAAUGCGUAGAGAUCGGGAGGAACACCAGUGGCGAAGGCGACUUACUGGACUGUAACUGACGCUGAGGCGCGAAAGCGUGGGGAGCAAACGGGAUUAGAUACCCUAGUAGUCC
rnacentral:rRNA from 1 species